GAAAAAUUUUAUGAAAUGAUUUUAAUACGACGGAAAUUGUAUUUAGUGUGAUCUCAGUUUAAUUAAAACAUUGUAAGCCUACGUUAGGCCUAUUAAUUGUAAUGAUUUAAUGUCCACGGUUAUUCAAACAACAAAUUACAUAGAGAAAGCGAGCAAAGAACACAACGGAGCUUUUUGAAACUCCGAAUCAGUUAAACCAUUGCGUCGCAAAAUGAUUCACUGUUUCGAAGCGCUCCAAUCGGAUCGCGUAUCGCGAAUCAUUUGAUUCAGAUCGGGACUUCAAAGCCGGGUUUGCAUGAUGUUUUUAUCCCCACCGGGGAUAAAAGUUAUUCAGCAGAGGCAGGGAUGCAUAGACCAGAGGGGGGGAAAUCCCCCCCAUCCCCCCCGGCAAAUCGCACCCUG
ensembl:lncRNA